rnacentral:rRNA from 1 species
UACAGAGGCCUCGAGCGUUAGGCGGAAUCACUGGGCUUAAAGCGCGUGUAGGCGGACCGUUAAGUGCCUUGUGAAAUCCCACGGCUCAACCGUGGAACCGCUGGGCAUACUGGCGGUCUUGGGCCACUCAGGGGCAACCGGAACAAGCGGUGGAGCGGUGAAAUGCGUAGAUAUCGCUUGGAACGCCAAAGGUGAAGACAGGUUGCUGGGGGUGUGCCGACGC